ACAAGCCCCAACCAACUACACUUUCAAUAAUUCCCUCAUAGGGGACUUGGAGCCCACGCACCCGUUCCAGAGAAUCACAGGCGGCGCUUCCUUUAAGGUCACCAGGGACCUCCGGUGGAGUGAUGUUCCUCCUGCUAGUAUCAUGGACCUGGGAGCUGUCGAAGGGCACGUUGAGAUCGACGGAACGCCUAUCGUCAGACUUACAUGGACUUGGCCUGGUGCUCAUAUGACACACGGAGUGGGACCAGGUAACUACCCUGAACGAUGAAGUGUGUACGCGUACCAGCUGCAUUGAGAACAGUGAAGAAAGCAUUGACUGAUGUGUAUGCACCCUACCAGCUGACGUCCCACACAGCGGUUUCUCCGAGGACGUGAGUCGACUAAAGGAUAGACGGAUGGUUCUCAAGGCUGCUGGUGUUGACAUGGUCGAUGUCUCGCGGUCGGCCAUCUCGCGGGAGCGGCAAAGACGAAGCGGUUGGAUAGGCGUGCGCACGUACCCCGCGCAGCACCCGCGUUCGAAGCUCGUGAACCGGCCAACGGCCCAUUUUCCAGC